AAAAAGACAAACCUUCAUAGAUUUCCGUAUCCAACGUUUGACUGUCCGUCUUAUAUGAAAUUUUUUAUAAUUAGUAUUUUUAUUGUUGUUAGAUGAUAAAGCAUGAUUAAUACUUUGUGCGUGACUUAUCUUUUUAAUUUUUUCAUAUUUUUUUUAAAUAAGACGGAUGGUCAAACGUUGGACACGGAAACCGAUGAUUUGUCUUUUU
rfam:Oryza barthii chromosome 1, whole genome shotgun sequence.